UGUAAGUAGAGGAAACCGGGUGUGCCAAGGCCAGGGGCAAGAUGUUGAAGUGAGGAUUCCCUUCCAUCCACACAUGAGGAAUGCAAACACUCCCCUAAGCUGAAGACCACCAGGAGCACACCUGCACAGGAUCCAUGGGUCACAAGAAACUUCAGGACACUGUUACAAGGACCAGUCCAACUUGGGUCUCAUGCCCAGGCAUGAGCCAAUAUUUGAGAUGGGGAAGGUGGUCAGAGAGGCCAAGUACCUUGCCAGUAUCACAUACGAGCAAGUGGGGGAAUCAAGGAACAUGAACUCUUCGCUACCGGAC